CCUGCGUCACCAACGGCCGCGCCCCUCCACCAACGGCCGAUGUAGCGCGCAGUAAGUCCGGGGGCGAGAAGCCCGCUCUGUCGGGGGUGCCCACCCCUGCCGGGUCGCCUCGCCCUGGUCUGGGGAGGUGAUGAAACACCCUCCCUGCUCGGGCACGUCCCUGAAACCCGAGCAUUUGGGGGGGCCGGGACCGGUGCCAAGGCCGCCCCCCGCCACAGGAUGGUCUUGUUUCUGUAGGAAAAAAUGAAAGAAAAUGUGAAAUUUUCUUUAACUCAGGUCUGCCUGAAAUCUGUUAAUUUUGGACUCUUGUGUAUUUAAUUUGGAGAUGCCAACAAUCACACACACCGUGCUGCCAAAUACAGAGAAAGGAAACUGAAGGCAAAGACUAUUUAACAGACACGUACAGAGACAGCAUGAUGGAUUUAAAUGAAUGGGAGGAGGUGGCUGAAGGAAGAAGCCUGGAUGACUGGAGCAUCUUGUUUAUAUCACCUCUGAGAGUCAAUUACAUGCGUAUCGCACAGCACAAAGCCCAGUUGUCUAGACAAUCGUCUAAUUGCCUUUCCUUGGCGGAUGCAGUUCUUGUCUCGGACCCCAGAAGACAAGCCUCUGCCUGUAGAAUCCUCACAAAUCCAUUUGCCAAGGACUUGAUUUUUCUGAGUUUCUGCAACUGCCGUUGACUGUGACCCCAUUUGGAAUCAGGGAAUGCUCAGUAGCUCUGAACAUACAAAAUGAAAUCCCAGUUCAGAAAGAUAGAUAAGUACAUCAUGAAAGAUCUCUAAUUAACUGUGCUGCUCCUUACGUGCAUAAAGGUCGAGGUAUUUUCAGCUUUCCCCCAGAUUUAGAGUCUAAAACAGUUGAGUGAAAAAAUCCAUUUUAAUAGCAAACCUUAUUGAGUAAGUGUUUGUCUGAGAAGUACUCGAACUAAUACCUAUGGUGUUUAGGGUUUACUGAGGAAGGAAGCAGAUGAAGAACAGGUCUCUUGAAAUUCUGGGCCCAUACCUCAAUUGGUAUAAUCUGGAGUAGGUCUUUUGAAACCAAUGGAGUGAUGCCAAUUUACACAAGUGAGUACUGUAUCUGGCGUUCUAUUUCCAGGCAUGCUAAAGGUGUUAGUGUGCAAAUGACUACAGAAAUUAUUGCCGGAAGGUUUUAUGCUCAAAGACAGAUCAGGUAUCUGGUCCAGAGAGGGUACAUCCCUGGCUGUUAAAAGAAAUAAAAGGAGGAAAAAAUUGUGAAGUGUUAACUGAUAUUUUUAGAAGUUUUAUAAUGACAGGUCACAUU